rnacentral:sRNA from 1 species
AAGCAGCGGGAGGGGAGCCGGGCGAUGCUCCCUGGGUGCCCGGUGUCUGGGAGCCACCGGAGUCUGGCUGCCGCGGACCGCCGCCUUCCUCUACCUUCCGCCACCCUGUACUGGGCACAUUCGGUGCUUCGGGCCCGGAAAAUAGUAGGGAUUGUAGCUGGCGCAGUCCCCAGCACUGAGCCGCCUAGGUUGCUUGUGGUAACAAUGGGCCCCAAGCAGUCCAGGGCUCUUUGUCAGGGAUCCCAAACGCCGCCACUUUGAGUGGAAUUUAACGUGCUUCGAUAUUACAUGUUUCCGUCGUGGAAAUAAUAGUUUCUCCAGGGUUUCGCCAGACUGUGAUUGCAGACGAGAUGACGGUCGAACCAAACCCAUUCCAAAGAAAGGUACUGUGGAGGGCUUUGAGCCCGCAGACAACAAGUGUCUGUUAAGAGCUACCGAUGGGAAGAAGAAGAUCAGCACUGUGGUGAGCUCCAAGGAAGUGAAUAAGUUUCAGAUGGCUUAUUCAAACCUCCUGAGAGCUAACAUGGAUGGGCUGAAGAAGAGAGACAAAAAGAACAAAACUAAGAAGACCAAAGCAGCAGCAGCAGCAGCAGCACCUGCCGCAGCAGCAACAGCAGCAACAACAGCAGCAACAGCAGCAACAGCAGCACAGUAAAGGGCAUACAUUUCCUGCUUUCACCAAUUAACCACUGAAUUGCUAUUUUUUCCUUUUGGCCAGAUAGCUAGGUUUCUGG